UACGUAGGGUGCAAGCGUUGUCCGGAAUUAUUGGGCGUAAAGAGCUCGUAGGCGGUUUGUCGCGUCUGCUGUGAAAACGCGAGGCUCAACCUCGCGCCUGCAGUGGGUACGGGCAGACUAGAGUGCGGUAGGGGAGAUUGGAAUUCCUGGUGUAGCGGUGGAAUGCGCAGAUAUCAGGAGGAACACCGAUGGCGAAGGCAGAUCUCUGGGCCGUAACUGACGCUGAGGAGCGAAAGCCAGGGGAGCAAACGGG
rnacentral:rRNA from 1 species